rnacentral:lncRNA from 1 species
GAAAAACCACUUGACCAAAAAGUUUGAAUCAACUAACCUUGUGAGGAGUGAUCCUUAGUUAACCCCCUUUGAGAUUAUUUUAGGAUUCAUUUGAUUGAUAAGUGUAAAAUCAAUUGAAAAUUUUGUGAAUAAAUGAAUCCUAAUUUCUUUCGUGUCAAUUGAACCCUCAAACCGAGUUGUUUGAAAUUUUUUGCCUUUUGCUUAUGUCUAAGUAGGGAGCAUUAUUGAAUAGAUUUGGUUUUGGAAUCUAAAGUUGGGGAGAGUAAAGAAAAAA